AAAAAAAAAAAAAAAAAAAGAUCCAAGAUUUUGUUCUUUGUCCUUUAUCGAGUUUUUUACAUGCAAAACCGAGCAUGACACGUUUAACAAAAUGCUUAAUUUGAUUCAUGGACGAACUUAACAUCUGCUAGAUGUAGAUUUUUAUUAAUGCACUUGGUUAAGUGAAGAUUUUUGUUAAAUAUAUAACACAUGGCAUUAGUUUUAUUUUUCUUUCCUCCUUUUCAAGAGCAGGUACUUGAAAAUUGAUUUCAUUUCUUUUUUUUGCAAAAAGUGUCAUAGAUGGACAUCAUUUUUUCCUUAAAUUAUUGUAUUUUUCCUUUCCCUUUUAUGGCAAGGGGGAAGGUCUUCUUUCUUUUAAAUCUAGAGCCCUUUCAUGAUCUGUAUGUGGACUAAAGGGUAAGUAACAGUGCUAUAUCCUAUUUCUGUUUUAUGCCUUUGAUAAUUUGGCG
rnacentral:misc_RNA from 1 species